rnacentral:rRNA from 1 species
ACUACGGGUGGCUGCAGUGGGGAAUAUUGGGCAAUGGGCGCAAGCCUGACCCAGCAACGCCGCGUGAAGGCAGCAGGCUUUCGGGUUGUAAACUUCUUUUAAGAGGGAAGAGCAGACGACGGUACCUCUUGAAUAAGCCACGGCUAACUACGUGCCAGCAGCCGCGGUAAUACGUAGGUGGCAAGCGUUGUCCGGAUUUACUGGGUGUAAAGGGCGUGUAGCCGGGCUGACAAGUCAGAUGUGAAAUCCCGUGGCUCAACCACGGAACUGCAUUUGAAACUGUCGGUCUUGAGUAUCGGAGAGGCAGGCGGAAUGCCUAGUGUAGCGGUGAAAUGCGUAGAUAUUAGGAGGAACACCAGUGGCGAAGGCGGCCUGCUGGACGACAACUGACGGUGAGGCGCGAAAGCGUGGGGAGCAAACAGGAUUAGAUACCCGAGUAGUC